rnacentral:lncRNA from 1 species
UUGCCAAAUGAUCAUCGUACUUUACUUGGUUUAGGCAUUAUGGAAACUGGGCUCAUACUCCUUUCAUUCUUAUGUUGAGUCAUAUUGCUUUUUAUCUACAAAUGCUGAUGAUUCAAACUCAGGUGCUUUAUUGGUCUUCCGAACUUUUACGUCUUUUGAAUAUUCUGCAACUGAUUGGAAGGGAUGAUUGUUAUGGAGCCUUGUGGAGAGCAGAUGGAAGAGCACAUUAUAGGGGAGUAUGGCUGUGCCGAAGGCUGCUAUCUUCCUACUUCUUUGUUUCAAAUGACUUACACUUGCUUUGGUUUGUAUUAGAAUAUUUCUAUCGGUGUAUGGACCAUGUAAUAAGCUGGAGAUGACACAGUCUAUUUUGGGUCUCUGUACUUUGUUUCUUAU